rnacentral:lncRNA from 1 species
CCGCUUUUAGGGAAGAUUCUCUGCCUGAUGUGUGAGCGCUCUAACCUCUUCAUCUGUGUUCAGUCCCCUUGCAAUGCUUCUCUAAGAUCAAUAAAGGCAAAAACCAGGAGAUCCCAUAAAUCCCGCUGAGCCUGUCAUAGCUAUCAAAUUAUACCCAGAUAAAGCUUCUGGUGGCUAAUGACAUGGCCAUCACCCAGCGUGGACGUGGGCAGGAGGGGCUCUCCGGGAGCAUCUGGUCUGCUGUGGAGACACUUGUCAUCUGGAGGCUCUGUGGCUCUAAUGGAGGGUGAUGCUUUGAACGCGACUAUCUCCCCCAUAAAAAAAUAAAUAAAUAAUAAGUAUAAUUUAAAAAUAAACAAAGAUCUGGAUUUGCAGGCUAAAAAAAAAAAAA